rnacentral:misc_RNA from 1 species
UCCGGUUUGACACCGGCAGUCUCUCAUGAGUCCCCGCCAUAACGCGCUGGCAACAUAGAACGAGGGUUGCGCUCGUUGCGGGACUUAACCCAACAUCUCACGACACGAGCUGACGACAACCAUGCACCACCUGUAAACCGACCGCAAGCGGGGCACCUGUUUCCAGGUGUUUCCGGUUCAUGUCAAGCCUUGGUAAGGUUCUUCGCGUUGCAUCGAAUUAAUCCGCAUGCUCCGCCGCUUGUGCGGGCCCCCGUCAAUUCCUUUGAGUUUUAGCCUUGCGGCCGUACUUCCCAGGCGGGGCACUUAAUGCGUUAGCUACGGCACGGAACCCGUCGAUCGAGCCCCACACCUAGUGCCCAACGUUUACGGCGUGGACUAC